AGGGAACGUGAGCUGGGUUUAGACCGUCGUGAGACAGGUUAGUUUUACCCUACUGAUGAAUUUGGUACGAUGACAGUAAUGUAAGUUAGUACGAGAGGAACUCUUAGAUUGAAUAUUUGGUAACGCCUUUGGUUGAACAGCCAAUGAGGCAAAGCUAUCAUUCACAGGAUUAUGACUGAACGCCUCUAAGUCAGAAUCCAUGCUGGCAAUCGUGCUACUCUCCUCAACCGAUGUUCGUGUAUAGCGAUAGCCUUCGGGUCAACAUCAUACAGUGCUGGCACUGCCUCUUAAAAGGGCACGUACAGCGAAACAUAAUUUCCAAUGUUGGUUGAGUUAAAUCCUUUGUAGACGACUUAAAUAUGGAACGAGGUACUGUAAGCAUGAGAGAGGCCUUUGUGCCUCGAUCUGCUGAGGUUCAGCCUUUGUUUCGGCGAU
rnacentral:rRNA from 13 species